GCGUGCCUAACACAUGCAAGUCGAGCGAUCUCUUCGGAGAGAGCGGCGGACGGGUGAGUAACGCGUGGGUAACCUGCCCUGUACACACGGAUAACAUACCGAAAGGUAUACUAAUACGGGAUAACAUACGAAAGUCGCAUGGCUUUUGUAUCAAAGCUCCGGCGGUACAGGAUGGACCCGCGUCUGAUUAGCUAGUUGGUAAGGUAAUGGCUUACCAAGGCAACGAUCAGUAGCCGACCUGAGAGGGUGAUCGGCCACACUGGAACUGAGACACGGUCCAGACUCCUACGGGAGGCAGCAGUGGGGAAUAUUGCACAAUGGGCGAAAGCCUGAUGCAGCAACGCCGCGUGAGCGAUGAAGGCCUUCGGGUCGUAAAGCUCUGUCCUCAAGGAAGAUAAUGACGGUACUUGAGGAGGAAGCCCCGGCUAACUACGUGCCAGCAGCCGCGGUAAUACGUAGGGGGCUAGCGUUAUCCGGAAUUACUGGGCGUAAAGGGUGCGUAGGUGGUUUUUUAAGUCAGAAGUGAAAGGCUACGGCUCAACCGUAGUAAGCUUUUGAAACUAGAGAACUUGAGUGCAGGAGAGGAGAGUAGAAUUCCUAGUGUAGCGGUGAAAUGCGUAGAUAUUAGGAGGAAUACCAGUAGCGAAGGCGGCUCUCUGGACUGUAACUGACACUGAGGCACGAAAGCGUGGGGAGCAAACAGGAUUAGAUACCCUGGUAGUCCACGC
rnacentral:rRNA from 1 species